GACGGCUGUAACUAUAACGGUCCUAAGGUAGCAAAUUUCCUUGUCGUCCUAAUAACGACCUGCAUGAAACAUAGAACGAUUUGAUAGCUGUCUUGCACACACAUCAUGGUAAAAUAUUCAUCAGUACAAAUAAUAUGCUGUCAACACACAUCGAUCUAAAGGACAAAAAGACCCUCUGAAGCUUUAUAGGGAUAAAACUUGGGUAACAUCUUGAUCUACAAUGUCUCUUAUUGCAUCCCAGCUAAAGCCAGCUAAAGUGAUGGAGAUCACGUAUUUUUGUCAAAAUAAACUAAUUUCUCUAAGACCACUGUUUAAUUGGGGCGAUAACCUUAUCCACAGCCAACUAAGGUGAACAAAGCGAUACAAGGACCCUAAUACUUCUAAUACUUUUGACCAACUAAUAAGUGCAAAGAUACAUGUUUCGCUUAAUGGCCCAACAAGUCCUUCCCAGUACUUAAAUGCUAUCUUAAUGAGCUUUAAAUUAAUCUACCCGAGUGAAGCUACUCUACGGAUAACAGGCUUAAUUUCCGCAAUACCCAAGGUCACAUUAUCAAGAAAAAUGCACAUCGAUGUCGGCUUAUCAUCCCAAAAUAGGUAGCUAAAUUAUUGGUGGGGAGUGCUCAUCCCGUAAAUCGGUACGUGAGCUGGGUUCAAUACG
rnacentral:rRNA from 1 species